GGUUUUAUGAAAUUUAAUAUAAAAAUUGGCCCGCUCAAUGUUAAUAAAUGGCCGCAGUACUUUGACUGUGCGAAGGUAGCAUAAUAAUUAGGCUAUUAAUUGUAGUCUUGUAUGAAAGGUUUGACGUAAAGCUUACUUUUUUUUUUUUAAUGAUGAAUUUAAAUUAUUAGUUAAAAUGCUAAUAUAAUGUAAUAAGACGAGAAGACCCUAUUAAGUUUUUUAUUAAGUGUGCUUAUAUAUUUUGUUGGGGUAAUGGUUAAUAAAUAUUAUAUGUUAUUGAUCCGUUAAUAAUGAUUGUUAGAAUUAAUUACUAUAGGGAUAACAGCGUAAUUUUGUUAGAGAGUUCAUAUUGAUAACAUAGUUUGCGACCUCGAUGUUGGAUUAGGAUAACCUAUAGGCGCAGUUGUUUAUUAAGGUAAACUGUUCGUCUAUUGAAUUCCUACA
rnacentral:rRNA from 1 species